CGCGCUGGGGAGCAAUUUCCAGCGUGAUCGGGCAGAAGUCAGCAGAGGUCAUAGUAAUCGCGGUAUCUGGAGCGAUGCCGCGGUGAAGGAC
rnacentral:ncRNA from 1 species